AUUGAACGCUGGCGGCAGGCCUAACACAUGCAAGUCGAGCGGAUGAAGGGAGCUUGCUCCUGGAUUCAGCGGCGGACGGGUGAGUAAUGCCUAGGAAUCUGCCUGGUAGUGGGGGAUAACGUCCGGAAACGGGCGCUAAUACCGCAUACGUCCUGAUGGAGAAAGUGGGGGAUCUUCGGACCUCACGCUAUCAGAUGAGCCUAGGUCGGAUUAGCUAGCUGGUCGGGUAAAGGCCUACCAAGGCGACGAUCCGUAACUGGUCUGAGAGGAUGAUCAGUCACCCUGGAACUGAGACACGGUCCAGACUCCUACGGGAGGCAGCAGUCGGGAAUAUUGGACAAUGGGCGAAAGCCUGAUCCAGCCAUGCCGCGUGUGUGAAGAAGGUCUUCGGAUUGUAAAGCACUUUAAGUUGGGAGGAAGGGCAGUAAGUUAAUACCUUGCUGUUUUGACGUUACCAACAGAAUAAGCACCGGCUAACUUCGUG
rnacentral:rRNA from 1 species